AGCUCCAAUAGCGUAUAUUAAAGUUGUUGCAGUUAAAAAGCUCGUAGUUGGAUUUCUGGCGAGGCGACUCCGGCCUCAGUUCGUUGAGUGCCGAGUGCCUUGUCAUCCUUCUGUUAACCUUUACGAGAUUCACUUCCCGUACUGGGGCUCAGAUAUUUUACCUUGAGAAAAUUAGAGUGUUUCAGGCAGGCUUUCGCCGGAAUACAUUAGCAUGGAAUAAUGGAAAAGGACUUCAACCUCUUCUGUUGGUCUGGGAGGCUGUAGUAAUGAUUAAUAGGGAUAGUUGGGGGCAUUAGUACUUAACUGUCAGAGGUGAAAUUCUCCGAUUUGUUAAAGACUAACUUAUGCGAAAGCAUUUGCCAAGGAUGUUUUCA
rnacentral:rRNA from 1 species